rnacentral:rRNA from 1 species
CGGCGAGACCGCGGACGGCUCAUUAAAUCAGUCGUGGUCCAAAUGGGCCAGUGCAAAUCCUACUUGGAUAACUGUGGUAAUUCCAGAGCUAAUACAUGCAACUGAUAUCCCGAAGGCGGUGUUUGUGCUUGCUUGCCUUGCGCUUGCGCUGCYCUGACGGAUGCUUUUAUUAGACCAAGCCGCUGAGGACUUGAGGGUUCGCGCUCUCUUGUUUGACUCGUGUGAUGGUGACUCUGGAUAACCAAAUUCUGACAAGCGCACGUACUUCUCUUCUGAGCGAGACGGCGCUGCCACUUUCGAGUGUCUGCCUUAUCAGCUAUCAACCGUUCGUUAUGCGCGACCGAUGGCUUUGACGGGUAACGGGGAAUCAGGGUUCGAUUCCGGAGAGGCAGCCUGAGAGACGGCUACCACGUCCAAGGACGGCAGCAGGCACGCAAAUUACCCAAUCCCAGCAAAUGGGGGAGGUAGUGACGAAAUCUAACGAUGCGGGCGCCCUUUCUGGGGCCCCGCAAUCGGAAUGGGCACUUUCUAAACAACCUGUUGAGAACCUACUGAAGGGCAAGUCUGGUGCCAGCAGCCGCGGUAAUUCCAGCUUCAGCAGCAUCUAUUAAAGUUGCUGCGGUUAAAAGGCUCGCAGUUGAAUGUCUGUAUCGAGCGCAGGUCAGGUGGACGUU